UGGCGGGAGCGGGCCAUCUCGGGGUUUUCCUUUCAGGCUUGAAAAGAUCGGACGCGCCAGUUGUUUGACGGCGGCAACUUGCAGCAAUUCCAACCCACUUGCCAGCCUUCGUGGACAGUCUGCACAACUUAAUAAUGUUGAAUUACAACUAUUUUUAGCAUAGGAGCUUCUUGUGGCGCAGUGGUGGAUUCUCAAAUCCCACCUGUUCUGGAGAUAUAAUGCUGCUAAUUCUCACUGCUGAAUGGUUCCAGCAUUUUCCACAUUAUAUUAAUUCUGGUUAAUCAGAUAGAGGCGGAGGCCUCUACAAAUAGACACAGAUUGAAACUGUAUUCGUCAUGAAAGUUGCCCACCCUCCACCUCCCUCUCCCACCCCGCCACCACCAGAACAACAUUCUCCUGCGUGAACCCAUAAACCAGGAACUGUCUCUAUGGAACAGACAAAAGUGAUGGAGGCAUCACGAAUGAAGUCAAUGCAUUGGCCACAUCAGAAUGCGCA